rnacentral:rRNA from 1 species
AAUCAACGCUGGCGGCGUGCCUAACACAUGCAAGUCGAGCGCCCAGCAAUGGGAGCGGCGGACGGGUGAGUAACACGUGGGAAUAUGCCUUUCGGUACGGAACAACUCAGGGAAACUUAAGCUAAUGCCGUAUGCGCCCUUACGGGGAAAGAUUUAUCGCCGAAAGAUUAGCCCGCGUCUGAUUAGCUAGUUGGUGAGGUAAUGGCUCACCAAGGCGACGAUCAGUAGCUGGUUUGAGAGAACGACCAGCCACACUGGGACUGAGACACGGCCCAGCCUCAGCCGGGAGGCAGCGGUUGGGAAUCUUGGACAAUGGAGGAAGCUCUGAUCCAGCCAUGGCGCGUGAGUGAUGAAGGCCUUCGGGUUGUAAAACUCUUUCGGCGGGGACGAUAAUGACGGUACCCGCAGAAGAAGCUCCGGCUAACUUCGUGCCAGCAGCCGCCGUAAAAC